CAGAGGAGAAGGCUGGAGAGGAGGGGGCACAGGCUAACUCUCAACAGCCUCAGCCUGGAUACAGGGAAAGCCACCCUCCAGCACCCAAAAGAUAGGAAACUGGAAGGUGGCUAUAGCAGUGUAUAUGUUGACCUGGAUGUGUGUCUGUAUGCCUGUCAGUGUGUGUCUGUUUGUGUAUCUGUAUAGCUGUCAGUGUGUGUGUCUGUGUGUGUAUCAGUAUGUCUGUCAGUGUGUGUGUGUGCAACUAUGUCUGUCAGCAUGUGUCUGUAUGUCUGUCAGUGUGUCAGUUUAUCUGUCAGUAUGUCUGUGUGUGUGUGUGUGUGUCUGCAUGCCUGUCAGUGUGUGAAAUAAUACAAAACAGAAUAGGGAUCCAGUUCAUAUCUCUAAAUGUAAACAUAAAAUGCAACAUGGUGUAAUACAGUUUAGCCUUAAAAAUCAAGGCAAGAAAAAGAAUGUAGCAAUUUAAAUAAUCGAAAAAUUAAUUAAUCACCUUUUGGAUUUAGCAUGGAGACGGACUGACUUAAUUAGGAGGCGGACUUUUCGGAUUAGUUUGAUAUAUAGAUAUCUAUAAAAAAAAAUUCAUACACAAUAAAUUAAUCUGUUUUAGUAAUGGUAUGUAUACACUCACAAACAAAGAGCUAUAGACCCCGCUCUGGUUUGAAUCGCCUCUGGGUCCGUUUGUGGAUCUUGUUCCGUGAGAGAGAUGAAAAAAUACCAACGAUUGCACAGUAUUACAAGUAAUAUUUCUAAUAUAGAAUAAAUAUCCCAAGUGGGUACUCACAAAUCUGGAGUCAUACAAUAAUGACUCAAUUCUUAAGCGUUGUGCAGAUUAGGGACUGCACUCCCUUCUGUGCUGGAUAAGAAUGCUGGGAAGGAUCGAUAAAUACAAAUUCCACAAUGUAUUAACAAACUUUAAAAGUAACAAAAUAAAAAAGCAUAAAUAUGCCAAAUCCAGAACGCGUUUCGCCACUAAUAUCGUGGCUUCUUCAGCCGGGUAAAUCAGUCUGAUAUCUUAAGGUUCCCUGUUCUUGUAUAUAUACCGUAGAGAAAGGCGGGCAGGGAGUUUGUGCAGG